AAAUGAGAAACAAAAAAUUGUAUUUAGUUUCGACCUAAAAUAAUGGUGGCUUCACCCUCACUUA
rnacentral:tRNA from 1 species